CACGGGGGGACGCGAAGAACCUUACCAGGCCUUGACAUGCAGAGAACUUUCCAGAGAUGGAUGGGUGCCUUCGGGAGCUCUGACACAGGUGCUGCAUGGCUGUCGUCAGCUCGUGUCGUGAGAUGCUGGGUUAAGUCCCGUAACGAGCGCAACCCUUGUCCUUAGUUACCAGCACGUGAUGGUGGGCACUCUAAGGAGACUGCCGGUGACAAACCGGAGGAAGGUGGGGAUGACGUCAAGUCAUCAUGGCCCUUACGGCCUGGGCUACACACGUGCUACAAUGGUCGGUACAAAGGGUUGCCAAGCCGCGAGGUGGAGCUAAUCCCAUAAAACCGAUCGUAGUCCGGAUCGCAGUCUGCAACUCGGCUGCGUGAAGUCGGAAUCGCUAGUAAUCGUGAAUCAGAAUGUCACGGUGAAUACGUUCCCGGGUCUUGUACACACGC
rnacentral:rRNA from 1 species